GCUGGCGGCAUGCCUUACACAUGCAAGUCGAACGGUAACAGGUCUUCGGACGCUGACGAGUGGCGAACGGGUGAGUAAUACAUCGGAACGUGCCCAGUCGUGGGGGAUAACUACUCGAAAGAGUAGCUAAUACCGCAUACGAUNUGAGGAUGAAAGCGGGGGACCUUCGGGCCUCGCGCGAUUGGAGCGGCCGAUGGCAGAUUAGGUAGUUGGUGGGAUAAAAGCUUACCAAGCCGACGAUCUGUAGCUGGUCUGAGAGGACGACCAGCCACACUGGGACUGAGACACGGCCCAGACUCCUACGGGAGGCAGCAGUGGGGAAUUUUGGACAAUGGGCGAAAGCCUGAUCCAGCAAUGCCGCGUGCAGGAUGAAGGCCUUCGGGUUGUAAACUGCUUUUGUACGGAACGAAAAAGCUCCUUCUAAUACAGGGGGCCCAUGACGGUACCGUAAGAAUAAGCACCGGCUAACUACGUGCCAGCAGCCGCGGUAAUACGUAGGGUGCGAGCGUUAAUCGGAAUUACUGGGCGUAAAGCGUGCGCAGGCGGUUAUGUAAGACAGAUGUGAAAUCCCCGGGCUCAACCUGGGAACUGCAUUUGUGACUGCAUGGCUAGAGUACGGUAGAGGGGGAUGGAAUUCCGCGUGUAGCAGUGAAAUGCGUAGAUAUGCGGAGGAACACCGAUGGCGAAGGCAAUCCCCNGGACCUGUAC
rnacentral:rRNA from 1 species